UUCAUUAAUUUUCUGAAAGAAAAUUAUUUUUGCUAAAAAGGACCAAUUUCGUUUUAAGUGUGACCGAACACGCAUUCCGCUCUCUUUGUUUUAAUUCUGCUGCAUUAUACUCUUCGAAAAAUACCCCCUCCGAUACCAACAAUUAUACGUGGCAACCGAUCCAAUCUUCAUGGGUCAUGGAAUUCAUGCACACCGCCAAGGGGGUUCACUUAUAAAACCCGUCCUGGCAGCUUUGUAUCACACUUUUGGAAAUUGAGAGAUUAUUUACUGAUGAAUCUUCCAGCUUUUCUCCACCGAAAGUCAUUCAACUUGUGCUUCUCUACACUUCUCCUAGCUUCCUUCCGAAAGAAUGCUUUCUGAGCUAGUCGCCCUUCCACCAAAAGCACUUUGACCAGACCUUCCUCCAUUAUACACACUCUUCCGCUGCACUUUCAUUUUCCCUCUAGGUUCUUUCCAAUCCUGGAGAGCCGUUUGAGCCAAUUAUCAGCCAUAUAAGCACUGUCUCCACACUUGCUUCCACAUUCAUCCGCUGCCGAUCAAACCAGAUCCUAGAGUUUCAUGGAUUUUGCUAGUGUCUCCACGUACUGGAUCGUAUCAAGUGGUAUUCAGAGCCAGGUUGGAGUUCUAGAGGCAACCCUGAAAUUGUUCAUGUCACCAAUAUUCUAAUUGGUUUGUGAUCUGACUGAGGUGUCUUUGAAAGGAAUUCAACUAAUUAGAGGUUCUUCAUCAUUGGAAGCAUCUUAGGGAAUGGAGAAUUGGUGGGAUACACAAAGGAGGGUGGCUUUCGGUGCUGCAGAAACUGGAUUGAUGAACUGCAUCAAUUUACUACUACUGCAGUUUCCUUCAUGCGUCAUUAUCAGAUAUAAUUAAAAGCUUCACAUGUCUGCAACUGUGAGAUUUGAAUACAGCACGUAAACCAGCCAAGAAUUUCUUUGAGAGAAGAAAAAGUUGCAUUGCCAAACCCACAUCCUUGGUUUCUUGAAUACUUUUGUAAUAGCUUAAUUAUUUUUCUUUGAUUGUAAAAGGCCAUUUCUGCAGGUGAUUUGGAAGAGCUCAAAAGUGUUCUUCCCUCAUUUGCUAACAUUGCUUAAGUUUCUUCAACUAAAAUUGGUAGACGGUGAGUGUGUCUUGGUUCUAAAGCUCCAAGCCUCACCUAGGAAACUUCACUUUGUCUUUUCCA